CCUUGUGUCUUUGCUCACACUCUUCCCAGGUUCACAGAUAUUCCAGAGAUCUUUCUUUGGAGUGAUCCUCCUGUCCUUCUCAUCCCUAACAUCGGUUUGUUUUCAUUUUGGGAUCCUUUUCUCAGCCUCUGCUGACUAAUUGGAGCACACUUUGACCCUUUCAAUACAAGCGACAGGAGUUUUUAUCAGGAAGGCAGAGUUCUCAGAAAUAUCCUUUAAACCACACCAUAAGGUAAAUUCAGACAGGAUAAGGCUGGGUGCAGACACAAGACCAAGGUUCAUCAUGCAUAGACACUACUCAGCUCUGUCCUUUUGUGGAGGAAAAGUGGCGUGAUCUCACUGCUUAUUUUUCACCAGUUAUGGGAGAAAUUGUCUCUCC